rnacentral:rRNA from 1 species
GACGAACGCUGGCGGCGUGCUUAACACAUGCAAGUCGAACGGAAAGGCCCUGCUUUUGUGGGGUGCUCGAGUGGCGAACGGGUGAGUAACACGUGAGUAACCUGCCCUUGACUUUGGGAUAACUUCAGGAAACUGGGGCUAAUACCGGAUAGGAGCUCCUGCUGCAUGGUGAGGGUUGGAAAGUUUCGGCGGUUGGGGAUGGACUCGCGGCUUAUCAGCUUGUUGGUGGGGUAGUGGCUUACCAAGGCUUUGACGGGUAGCCGGCCUGAGAGGGUGACCGGCCACAUUGGGGCUGAGAUACGGCCCAGACUCCUACGGGAGGCAGCAGUGGGGAAUAUUGCACAAUGGGCGGAAGCCUGAUGCAGCAACGCCGCGUGCGGGAUGACGGCCUUCGGGUUGUAAACCGCUUUCGCCUGUGACGAAGCGUGAGUGACGGUAAUGGGUAAAGAAGCACCGGCUAACUACGUG